GAAUCCUUAUUGCCGUUUCCGGUGUUGCACCUUUUCUGUGCAGAAAGCAUGACUCCAGACUUGAAGGAUGUAUGUUCCCUGCUGCUGGCUUUCCAGUUUUUCUGUACUAUGAAGGAAGCCAUUAUUGUGAACUCGUUUUAGAGUUCAGCCUCUUUCACUGAGAUCAAGUAGACUGACCUCUUCCUUAGCGUCUUUAUCUUUUUGAUUCCCUCCUGCCAUCUGAGGUCAAGGCCAUUGCUGUUUCUGUAGUGAGGCCCUGCACAAAUCCUUAACCCUCCCGGAGAAGUCACCAGGAAAGUUUUAGAAUCUAUUUUUAAAUUACCUUUUUGUUGUUGUAAUCUUUGCUUAUAUCAAUCUUUUUCACCCAGAUAUACCUGCAGAAGGCUGAAUUUGCUGUAUAUCAUGACGACUUAAUUACCACCGAGCUGGCUUCAGUUGUGAUCAGAAGCAAAAAGGGUGAUGCAGGCAGAGGUUAUUCUCAUGCUAUUUCUGUCCAGACAGUAGAGGAAAGUACCAAAUAUUUCACAAGAGACCAUGUCCUUACGAGAUUUCCAGCUAUGCUUUGCACAUGAAGAAGGCUCGGACGCUGAAGAUGAGCAUCUAAAAAUGGAAGCUGCUGAUAUAGAAAGUGCAUUCCAAAGGCAAAGGCGCUUGCUGGGGUGACGUGGGGUAAACUCGAGACACAAUUUGGCCCAGAGCAUAUAGCUUCUUCUGUUCUUAUCAACUUAUUUUCUCCAUCAGUGAGGGGUGUCUCCUAAAAUGAAUGCUUAGAGAAACAAACUGCGAAGCUAUCUACUGGCAACCUUCACGGUACAUAAUAAUGACGAUGAUUAUAUAAUAAUAAUAAUAAUAAUAAUAGGGUUGUCAAAUGAUUUAAAAAAUUGAUCGCGAUUAGUUGCAUGAUUAAAAAAAAUUAGUCGCA